UUUCUCUCCUGAUCUCUGUCAAGAACUCAUCCGAUUCCAUCUGUCGUCUCUUUGCAUGAAACUCACUGGGGAGGUAACACGAGGUCAGGGAUUUGUGUGGUGUUGAAGAAACUGCCCGUUCGGUCUAAAUGAAUAUGAUGAAUAACUAACUGCCCUCAGGCUCAAGGGUCAGGCCUCCGUUACUCCAGUGAGGUGAAGACCUGGAACACGGACGGAAGAUAAGACGACGUGUCACCACUUCUUCUGAAAGUCCAGAGAGGAAGUCAAGGGCGUGUACGUCAGUGUGGCGCCCGAGCGCUCACGUGCACACGCAGCGCGCAGUGCACGCCCCUUCUCCAGCCUCUGCAGUGUGAGUGAGCUCUGUGCACGCACACACACGCACGCACGCACACAAACACACACACACACACAGGAGAGAUCCGGGAGCUG